rnacentral:lncRNA from 1 species
AGCAACCACGUGACCCUAGAUCUGUAUCUAGAGGGAACGGGAAGAUUGGCUACGCACAGGCAAGGAUUUAACAGAUGAAUCAUUGGUUUUGUGUCGUUUUGAUUAAAUAUCUAUUUUAUUUUAGUAUCCUCAUUAUGCAGGCUAUUCAAAUGAUAUUAUGUGAGCCUAGGAGCCACGAGAUCUAAGAUCCAGCUGACGGAUCUAGAUCUGGUUCUUAUGAUGGACCUUUUUCAGUUGUAUAGUUUGUUUGUAAAUCAUAUUUGUGGUUUUGGAC